GAGUUUGAUCUUGGCUCAGAUUGAACGCUGGCGGCAUGCCUUACACAUGCAAGUCGAACGGUAACAGGUCUUCGGAUGCUGACGAGUGGCGAACGGGUGAGUAAUACGAUCGGAACGUGCCCGAUCGUGGGGGGAUAACGAGGCGAAGGCUUUGCUAAUACCGCAUACGAUCUACGGAUGAAAGCGGGGGAUCUUCGGACCUCGCGCGGACGGAGCGGCCGAUGGCAGAUUAGGUAGUUGGUGGGAUUAAAAAGCUUACCAAGCCGAUGAUCUGUAGCUGGUCUGAGGGGAUGAUCAGCCACACUGGGACUGAGACACGGCCCAGACUCCUACGGGAGGCAGCAGUGGGGAAUUUGAACAAUGGGCGAAAGCCUGAUCCAGCCAUGCCGCGUGCAGGAUGAAGGCCU
rnacentral:rRNA from 1 species